rnacentral:rRNA from 1 species
AACGUAGGACACAAGCGUUAUCCGGAGUUACUGGGCGUAAAGGGCGUGUAGGCGGAUCGGUAAGUCUACUCUGAAAGCUCCUGGCUAAACUGGGAGAGGCGAGUGGAGACUGUCGGUCUAGAGUGAGGAAGAGGAAAGUGGAAUUCCGCGUGUAGUGGUGAAAUGCGUAGAGAUGCGGAGGAACACCAGUGGCGAAAGCGGCUUUCUGGUCCUUAACUGACGACUGAGG